rnacentral:lncRNA from 1 species
CCGGGAUUGUAGUUCCCUUGGUUUCUCCUGCAUACCCUCCUGUCUCUGGCUUCGCGCGCCUCUCCUGGGCUGCCGUCUCCCAGCCAAUCGGCUGCGCUCUCUGCUACGUGUGGCGUCACACGUAGCGGCCAAGAUGGCGCUAGCGGUUGGAGCAGGGGCUCUGCUGCGACCUUUACGGUAGUGAGGUUAGGGACGAUGGGAGAGCAGCUUUGUUCCUGAAGUGCCGUCGAGGAUUAGGAUCGAGUUUCUUCGAUCGUGAGGGCAAUUAUUAGUGGCCUCUAGCCCCCCAGAUGGCAUCUUGAGGAGAGAGAAUCCACGCUACGAGAACUAACAUAGUGGACAUCGCAGUUGUCCGUAGCCGAUUUGCGGGUUACGGAGUUGUUGCAAGUAAAGAAGGGGAAAUCCGAGCGUUCUCGCGUUGGAUUUCCUCCACGUGUGAAGUGGGAAUGGUAGUGAUAUCUCGUGCUAUCUCUGUCAAGGGCAAGAAGGAGAAGGAAUUUAUUUGAGGCCCUACGACGUGGUAGGUUCACCCUCAGCCUUUGUUCUUAUUUCAUCUUAUUUGUGGAGAAGGUCUUUUCGUUCCUAUUUUACAGGUGAGAAAAGGGGCCCAAUAUAUAGUUAUUUGCGGCCAUAAAAUAGAAGCCAGUUGCCUGAUACUGAAGAUUCAAUGAAAUCUUGUGAUUGACUUCCCUCUUUAAAUUUUGUACUUUGGGUAACAUCGGAUCCGGUAGAAACGCUCGUCAGAAAGAGUUUUUAAUGUGCAUUCUACAAUUUCCAGACAUAGUUUCCUUCUUGAAAAAUUGGGUUAAUACUACCCUAUAGGGAUCUUGUGAUGCACCACGUAAACGUUGUAAGUUGUGAACCACUAUACAAACGUAUGAGACUCUUCAUGUUCUUGAGUGGAACUGUAGGUUAGGAAGAGAAGGUAAAUAACAGCAUUUAAGUUUCCUACUACUAUUUGCCCAUUAGCUAAAAAUACCCUCCGAGGUCUAGGAAAGUCACUGUUGUUGAAACCCAACCUACACCUUCAGAAAAUCGUAAAGUGGAACAUAUUAAUCACCAGGCCCUCCCUCCGCUGUCUCCCUGACCUUCCUAUGCAUCCAGUUGCUUAAGAACUCUUGGAAAGAUAGUAAGUGAAAUCUUCAUAGAGGAUUUUUGUACUUUAACAUAUAUUAUUUGAUUUGAGCCUCGCAACAUUUCAGUGUGACAGGUACGAUUAAGGUCUUUCAUACUAUGAAUGAGAAAAACAUAGAUGUACCAAGGACUCACCAAAUUUCACGGAGCUAGGAAUUGGAAGAGAGCUAGGCUUUGUAAUCCCAGGUCUUCUGACCUCCAAAUGUCCUUUCCUCUACAGUGAAUGUCAAAAUGACAAUGAAUGUCUACUCCUCUACAAUGGAGUACAAAUCGAAAGACAAGGGGCUUAUAAAACUGACUCUGACCUUAAGAAGUAGCAUAUGAGUGAUGAAUUAUUAUAGUCAAUCCUUGUGCUUACUAAGUGCCACAUACUGGUCUAAGCAUUUUACAUAGUAAUUCAGUCCUUAGAACAACUUUAUGAGGUGGAAACUUUUAUUAUCUCUAAUUACAAAGGAGGCAACUAAAGUCUAGGAAAGAAGCAAAAUAGCUUGCCUAAAGUCACACAUAAGUAAAUGGUGGCUCACGCCUGUAAACCCAGCACUUUGGGAGGCUGAGGCAAGUGGAUCAUUUGAGGUCAGGAGUUCAAGACCAGCCUGGCCAACAUGGUGAAAGCCCACCUCUACUAAAAAUACAAAAAUUAGCUGGGCAUGGUGGCAUGUGCCUGUAAUCCCAGCUACUCGGGAGGCUGAGACAGGAGAAUUGCUUGAACCAGGGAGGUGGAGGUUGCAGUGAGCCAAGAUCGCUCUACUGCAUUCCAGCGUGGGCAACAGAGCAAGACUCCAUCUUAAAAAAAAAAAAAAAAAAAAAAGCUAAAGCUGGGAUUUAAACCUGAUUAUGUUGGCUCCAGAGCCUAUGCUCUAGACCAGUGGUUCUAAACUUUAAUGGUCAAUAGGAACCGCUUGAGGAUCUUGUUAAAACGCAAAUAUUGGUAGUAUAGAUAUCAGGUAAGGCCUGGAUCCUAUAGUCUUAACAGGCCCCCAGGUGAUGUUGAUGGUGCUGGUCAUUACAUACUACAGUUCACAUCUUCCCUUUUCUCCUAACCGUAUUUAUUUUGCAGUCAGAAACUACCUUUCCCAUGCUGCCUGUGACUGCUUUAUAGUCUCAAAUGUUCCCAACAUGCUCUUCCUUAAGGAUUAGACUCAAACUUUUUCCUCAAAAAGCUUAUCCUGCCCCUGUCUUUCCCUCUAGGAUAAGACAGACAUCCCUGCCUCUGCUCCCCUACCACUCAGUGUACACCUUGUUACAGAGCUCAGAACACUGAAUUAUGGCCAUUUAUUUGAAAAUCUUCCUGGCCGGGCAUGGUGGCUCAUGCCUGUAUUCCCAGUACUUUGGGAGGCCGAGGUGGGCUGAUCACUUGAGGUCAGGAGUUCAAGACCAGCUUGGCCAACAUGGUGAAAUCCCGUCUAUACUAAAGAUAGAAAAAUUAGCCGGUCAUGGUGUUGUGCAUCUGUAGUCCUAGGUACUCUACUCGAGAGGCUGAGGCAGGAGAAUCUCUUGAACCCAGGAGGUGGAGGUUGCAGUGAGCUGAGAUUGCGCAACUGCACUUCAGCCUGGGCGACAGAGCAAGACUCUGUCUCAAAAAAAAAGAAAAGAAAAUCUUCCUGACUGGACAACGAGCUCUUUGAGGAGAGGAACCAAUCAGGUCUGUGUACUGUAGAGCCUAGCAUAUAAUAAGAAUAAUAGCUAAUACUUACAUAGGACUUUCUGUAUUCCAGAUCACGUUAUACACAUUAACUUGUUUAAUCUCUACUAUAACCUUACAGAUACACUUUUAUCCCCAUUUUAUGAAUGAAGAAACUAAGGCAUAGAGAGGUUAAAUAGCUGGCCCAAGGUAACAAGCUUGUAAGUAACAGAGCCAUGAUUUUAAAUAAAAGCACUUUGGCUCCAGGAAAUGUGUGGUGAAUUAAAUGAGAGCCACUCUACACUCAACCAAAGAAGGAAAACUGAGACUUACUAUCCUAUUAGACAUGAUUAUAACUACCUCUAGUCUGGGAAAAUACACAGAAAUCUGUUCCCCUGGCCAGGUGCGGUGGCUCACGCCUGUAAUCCCAACACUUUGGGAGGCCGAGGCAGGCGGAUCAUCUGAGAUCGAGAGUUCGAGACCAGCUUGACCAACAUGGAGAAACCCCGUCUCUACUAAAAGUACAAAAUUAGCCAGGCAUGGUGGCACAUGCCCGUAAUCCCAGCUACUCGGGAGGCUGAGGCAGGAGAGUAGCUUGAGCCCAGGAGGCGGAGGUUGUGGUGAGCCGAGAUCGCGCCAUUGCACAGCCUGGGCAACGAGCGAAACUCCAUCUCAAAAAAAUAAAUAAAAAUUUUUUUAAAAA